rnacentral:rRNA from 1 species
AUUGAACGCUGGCGGCAGGCCUAACACAUGCGAGUCGAACGGUAGCACAGAGAGAGCUUGCUCUCGGGUGACGAGUGGCGGACGGGUGAGUAAUGUCUGGGAAACUGCCCGAUGGAGGGGGAUAACUACUGGAAACGGUAGCUAAUACCGCAUAACGUCGCAAGACCAAAGUGGGGGACCUUCGGGCCUCACACCAGCGGAUGUGCCCAGAUGGGAUUAGCUAGUAGGUGGGGUAAUGGCUCACCUAGGCGACGAUCCCUAGCUGGUCUGAGAGGAUGACCCGCCACACUGGAACUGAGACACGGUCCAGACUCCUACGGGAGGCAGCAGGGGGGAAUAUUGCACAAUGGGCGCAAGCCUGAUGCAGCCAUGCCGCGUGUAUGAAGAAGGCCUUCGGGUUGUAAAGUACUUUCAGCGGGGAGGAAGGCGGUGAAGUUAAUAGCUUCACCGAUUGACGUUACCCGCAGAAGAAGCACCGGCUAACUCCGUGCCAGCAGCCGCCGUAA